UGCUACCGACUUGCACUCAGUGCGCCGCGCAAAGUGGCACGUGUGGGCCUGUUACCACGCUCGUGCUGAUUUUCUUAGGCCCAUCACAUUGCGCGGCGUAGAGAGUGCAAGUCAGUAGCAG
rnacentral:miRNA from 1 species